GAGAAGGAUUAUGAAUUCUCUGUCGACCUGGAGUUAAUUACUUUGGUUGAAUCUGAUCCUUUCCAUGGUUAUGAAACUGAAACUGUUGUGGCACAUCUUACUAAGUUGAAUGAUAUAGCCACCCUUUUUACUCAUGAUGAGAAAACUCGAUACUACUUUAUUCUCAAAUUAGUUCCUUUAUCAUUAAAGGGUGAUGCUAAAGCUUGGUACAAUACUCUUGCUCCUGGUUGUGUGUGUAGUCCCCAGGAUAUGAUUUACUACUUCUCCGAAAAAUAUUUUCCUGCUCAUAAGAAACAAGCUUCCUUAUAG
rnacentral:rRNA from 1 species